GAUGAACGCUGGCGGCGUGCCUAAUACAUGCAAGUCGAGCGAACAGACGAGGAGCUUGCUCCUCUGACGUUAGCGGCGGACGGGUGAGUAACACGUGGAUAACCUACCUAUAAGACUGGGAUAACUUCGGGAAACCGGAGCUAAUACCGGAUAAUAUAUUGAACCGCAUGGUUCAAUAGUGAAAGACGGUUUUGCUGUCACUUAUAGAUGGAUCCGCGCCGCAUUAGCUAGUUGGUAAGGUAACGGCUUACCAAGGCAACGAUGCGUAGCCGACCUGAGAGGGUGAUCGGCCACACUGGAAGUGAGACACGGUCCAGACGCCUACGGGAGGCAGCAGUAGGGAAUCUUCCGCAAUGGGCGAAAGCUUGACGGAGCAACGCCGCGUGAGUGAUGAAGGUCUUCGGAUCGUAAAACUCUGUUAUGAGGGAAGAACAAAUGUGUAAGUAACUAUGCACGUCUUGACGGUACCUAAUCAGAAAGCCACGGCUAACUACGUG
rnacentral:rRNA from 1 species